rnacentral:rRNA from 1 species
AGCGAACGCUGGCGGCAGGCUUAACACAUGCAAGUCGAGCGGGCAUCUUCGGAUGUCGGCGGCAGACGGGUGGGUAACACGGGGGAACGUACCCUUCGGUUCGGAACAACUCUGUGAAACUGGAGCUAAUACCGGAUACGCCCUUAUGGGGAAAGGUUUACUGCCGAAGGAUCGGCCCGCGUCUGAUUAGCUAGUUGGUGGGGUAACGGCCUACCAAGGCGACGAUCAGUAGCUGGUCUGAGAGGAUGCUCAGCCACACUGGGACUGAGACACGGCCCAGACUCCUACGGGAGGCAGCAGUGGGGAAUAUUGGACAAUGGGCGCAAGCCUGAUCCAGCCAUGCCGCGUGAGUGAUGAAGGCCUUAGGGUUGUAAAGCUCUUUUGUCCGGGACGAUAAUGACGGUACCGGAAGAAUAAGCCCCGGCUAACUUCGUG